rnacentral:misc_RNA from 1 species
UAUUCUCAACUCCACCAGCUUUUGUGGUUGGUUACUGGAGCUUGGAUGUGGAGGUUUUGCCGGCCUUUGUGGUCAGCUCCUCUGAAAUACAUUAGCGGAACCGUUUGCGAUCCGUCACAGGUGUGAUAAUUAUCUACAUCUAGUGGGUUGCUUUCUGUCUGUUCAGCUCAUAACUGUCCUUUCAAUGGACAACUUAUCGAAC